CGCGGCCUAUCAGCUUGUUGGUGAGGUAAUGGCUCACCAAGGCUUCGACGGGUAGCCGGCCUGAGAGGGCGACCGGCCACACUGGGACUGAGAUACGGCCCAGACUCCUACGGGAGGCAGCAGUGGGGAAUAUUGCACAAUGGGCGCAAGCCUGAUGCAGCAACGCCGCGUGCGGGAUGACGGCCUUCGGGUUGUAAACCGCUUUCAGUAGGGACGAAGCUAACGUGACGGUACCUACAGAAGAAGGACCGGCUAACUACGUGCCAGCAGCCGCGGUGAUACGUAGGGUCCGAGCGUUGUCCGGAAUUAUUGGGCGUAAAGGGCUUGUAGGCGGUCCGUCGCGUCAGGAGUGAAAACUCGGGGCUUAACCCCGAGCCUGCUUUUGAUACGGGCGGACUAGAGGGAUGCAGGGGAGAACGGAAUUCCUGGUGGAGCGGUGGAAUGCGCAGAUAUCAGGAGGAACACCGGCGGCGAAGGCGGCUCUCUGGGCAUCACCUGACGCUGAGAAGCGAAAGCGUGGGGAGCAAACAGGCUUAGAUACCCUGGUAGUCCACGCCGUAAACGGUGGGCACUAGGUGUGGGGGACAUUCCACGUUCUCCGUGCCGAAGCUAACGCAUUAAGUGCCCCGCCUGGGGAGUACGG
rnacentral:rRNA from 1 species